rnacentral:lncRNA from 1 species
UUUCGCUACUGUUUCCUUCUUUCAGUUUCAUUGAUUUUUCGCUACUGUUUCCUUCUUUCAGUUUCAUUGAUUUCUGCUCUUUACUAUUUGCUGCCUUCUGUUUGGUUCAGGUUUAUUUUGCUCUUUUUUUUUUUAAAGUUUCUUAAGGGAGGAGCUUAUAUUAAUAAUUUGAGGCUAGGCGCGGUGUCUCACGCCUGUAAUCCCAGCACUUUGGGAGGCUGAGGCAGGCAGAUCAUUUGAGGUGGGGAGUUAGAGACCAGCCUGGCCAACAUGGUAAAACUCCAUCUCUACUAAAAAUACAAAAAUGUGCCAGGCAUGGUGCUGCAUGCCUAUAAUCCCAGUUCCUCAGGAGGCUGAGGCAGGAGAAUCACUUGAACCUGGGAGGGGGAGGUUGCAGUGAGCCAAGAUCACAUCACUGCACUCCAGCCUGGGUGACAGAGCAAGACACCAUCUCAAAAAAUAAUGAUGAGAAUGAUUUGAGACCUUUCUUCUUUUCUAAGAACCUUCCCAACUGGAGAUGUGAAACGGUCAUUCUCCAUCCACUCACCUGGUUUCCUGCCACAGAGAUAGAAGGCUAGUCUGUCCGUUAGCUCAUACUGUAUUUCCACGAGGCGCUCUGCCAGCUCAUGGUGCCCUCCUUGCCUACCAAGAGAAAACAAAGUACCAUUUAUAUUGCUCACUAUUCACUGACUUUAAAAUGGAGUACAAAGACGUCUCCUGAGACACCUGAGCAGUUUAUCACACAAGACUUUUGAGAAUCAUCAACCUUCUUGUGGAUGAAAGAAGUUGGCUUGUGCUCCUAAAGAUAACAGUCUCAAACAGGUUUCAAGAUUCCCUGUUCUCACGCUCGAAUGGAGUUGCUGAAAAACGCAGAAACAAAAAAGGAAUCGUGGUUAGAGGUGUAAAGAAUGAUGUCCUAGGGCAGCUGAUAGACCAUUUUAAUAUAUGUUACAUCAGUAACGCAUAAUCUUUAUUUGUCUCGGUAAAGUGCAUGGACCAGUCUCUCCUUUGCCAGUCACAACUGUCCCUGGGCUGUAAGGUGGAGUGAGGCCACUUUACUGAUAAGGAAACUAGGGCUGUGAAGGCUGACUUGCCCAAAUGCAUGACUUAUCUAAGAAGUGGCACAACCAGAACCUGAGUGAGAGGCAGGACUGUGUGAAGAGGUGACUAUGCGUGGCUCUGACAUACGACAGACCUGAAUUUCAAACUAUACCCACUUCAAGCUGUGUGGCCUGGAGAAAGGGCUUUAAGCAAUCUGAACCUCACUUUCCUCAUCUCAAAAAUGUCAACAAUGGCCAGAUGCAGUGGCUCAUGCCUGUAAUCCCAGCACUUUGGGGGGCUGAGGUUGGAGGAUCACUUGAGCCCAGGGGUUUGAGACCAGCCUGGGCCACAUAGCAAGACUCUGGCUCUACAAAAAAUACAAAAAUUAGUUGGGUGUGGUGGCAUGCGCACCUGUAGUCCCAGCUACUAAGGAGGCUGAGGUGGGAAGAUCACCUGAGCCUGGGCAGUGGAGGCUGCAGUGAGCUGUGAUCAUGCCACUGCACUCCAGCCUUGGUGACAGAGCGAGACCCUGUCUCAAAAAAAAUAAAAAAUAAAAAAAAUUUUAAAAGGUGGCAUUUUUCUUUUUAGAAAGGGUCUCGCUUGCUCUGUCAUCCAGGCUGGAGUGCAGUGGAGUGAUCAUGGCUCACUGCAGCCUCAGUAUCCUGGGCUCAAGCAAUCCUUCCACCUCAGCCUCCCAAACAGCUGGGACUACAGGCGCCGGCCACCAUGCCCUGCUAACUUUUUAUUUUUCAAUACAGAUGAGGUCUCACUAUGUUGCCCAGGCUGAUCUCGAACUUACGAGCUGAAGUGAUCCUCCCACCUCGGCCUCCCAAAGUGUUGGGAUUACAGGCAUGAGCUACCGUGCCUGGCCCUAUUCACAGGGUUAUUAUAAGGAUUUAGUGAUAUAAUAAAGUGCUCAAAGAAUACAAAUGCUAUAAUAACAGUUAUUAUUAUUAGUUGUUACUGUAAUUAGGGCUUUAGGACUUCAAAUUCUACACUGUGUAAGCUACAGGAUCCUGCCUUAUACAAUACCCUCUCUACCACAUUAUUCUUGGCCUGUAUAAUAUGCUUUAAUAAAGUCUUUCAGGGUAGGAAAAGGCCCGUGAUAUACCGAAUUCUGUACUACUGCAGAAAAGCUCUUAUACAGUCAGAAGAUGAGCUGCCUUCCUUCAAAUCUAACCUAGAAUUGUCCAAGAUGCAGUAACCCUUAUCACAGGAAUGAAGAAAUCUACUCUAACAUCUAAGUUUAAUUUUUUAAAUAGUUUUUUUGUUUUUUAAACACAGGGUCUCGUUAUGUUGCCCAGGCAGGACUGAACUCCUUGGCUCAAGCAACCCUUCCACCUCAGCCUCCCAAGUAGCUAGUAUUACAGGGAUGUGCCACUGUGCCUAAUUUUUUAAAACUCUGGCAAGGAAAAAAAAACAAAAAACAAAAAACCCAACACAUACCAAGUCUUAUUAAUCAAUGGAAGUAGCUAGUAUAUGCAUUUCUAUGCAAAAUUUCAAAUUCUGAAUUCUUCAGCCAGAUUCUGCUGGGGAUUAAAAAAGGGGGGGGAAAAAAGGCCAGAUGUGGUGGCUCACGCCUGUAAUCCCAGCACUUUGGGAGGCCAAGGCAGGCAGACUGCUUAAGCCCAAGAAUUUGAGACCAGUAUGGACAACAUGGUGAAACCCCAUCUCUCCAAAAAGUCAAAAACUGGCCAGGCGCGGUGGCUCAUGCCUGUAAUCCCAGUACUUUGGGAGGCCGAGGCAGGCAGAUCACUUGAGGUCAGGAGUUCAAGACCAGCCUGGCCAACAUGGUGAAACCCUGUCUCUACUAAAAAUACAAAAAAAAUUAGCCGGGCAUGGUGGUGGGCACCUGUAAUCCAAGCUACUCAGGAGGCUGAGGCGGG